AGGCUUUGAGCUGGCGGAAGGGA
rnacentral:piRNA from 1 species